rnacentral:rRNA from 1 species
UACGUAGGGUGCGAGCGUUGUCCGGAAUUACUGGGCGUAAAGAGCUCGUAGGUGGUUUGUCGCGUUGUUCGUGAAAACUCACAGCUUAACUGUGGGCGUGCGGGCGAUACGGGCAGACUGGAGUACUGCAGGGGAGACUGGAAUUCCUGGUGUAGCGGUGGAAUGCGCAGAUAUCAGGAGGAACACCGGGGGGGAAGGCGGGUCUCUGGGCAGUAACUGACGCUGAGGAGCGAAAGCGUGGGGAGCGAACAGG